GAUGAACGCUGGCGGCGUGCCUAAUACAUGCAAGUCGAGCGAACAGACGAGGAGCUUGCUCCUCUGACGUUAUCGGCGGACGGGUGAGUAACACGUGGAUAACCUACCUAUAAGACUGGGAUAACUUCGGGAAACCGGAGCUAAUACCGGAUAAUAUAUUGAACCGCAUGGUUCAAUAGUGAAAGACGGUUUUGCUGUCACUUAUAGAUGGAUCCGCCCCGCAUUAGCUAGUUGGUAAGGUAACGGCUUACCAAGGCAACGAUGCGUAGCCGACCUGAGAGGGUGAUCGGCCACACUGGAACUGAGACACGGUCCAGACUCCUACGGGAGGCAGCAGUAGGGAAUCUUCCGCAAUGGGCGAAAGCCUGACGGAGCAACGCCGCGUGAGUGAUGAAGGUCUUCGGAUCGUAAAACUCUGUUAUUAGGGAAGAACAAAUGUGUAAGUAACUAUGCACGUCUUGACGGUACCUAAUCAGAAAGCCACGGCUAACUACGUG
rnacentral:rRNA from 1 species